GACUUUGCAUCAGAUCUUUUGUCUUUGUAUUGCAGGUAUUGUACCUUGCUGUAAAUAUUUGUGCACCAUUGUACAUACAUUGUUAUUUUUGAGCUCUGUUAUCUUUAUCUAUUGUUUUCCUGCUCGUUUCCCUGGUGAUAAGUUAUUGGCUGGUUUAUCCCUAACCUCUUAUAUUUCAAAUUCUGCAUUCUCCAUCUUUCUUCUUUUUCUUCCUAAACUCCUUAUCCUUUUUUAUUCAGUGAUCUUCGUGACAGAGAUGAAGGUGAAUGAGCUUAAGAGACAAGCUAGCCCAUCUUUGCUUGACGUUUAAAAAGAGGCAUUGCAUUACCAAUCAGUCACAUGUGGAACAUGAAACCAGUUACUCUAGUGAGAAGAGUUCCGAAGCACUGCAGUCUGAUUGUGUUGAUAAAAAUGGGGUUACCGUUGUUAAUGAACUGCUCGAGCUUCAACCAACCCUGCAAGCAUGCAUUAAUACAGCAAAACUAUCUCUAGACAUGUUUGAAUGCUAUACGCUAGUGUUCGUGAAACCCCCAAGUUGACACGUGGAAGCUCAUCAUUUUCACCUGGAGAAGCUUUUUGGGAUGAUGCAAUACAACUUGACGAUGGUCUGUGUGCACAGGCAGUAGGAGUAAUUAGUGUUGCACGAUGUGACUGCAAGUCAAAGGAAAUUCUGGAUGAAGGUGAGCGGAUGGAUAAGGGUGGUGAUUCAGGGCCAAUGGGAAGCAUAGAAAGGAUUUAGAUAAAGAAGUGUCCCCACUACCUGUUAAAACAUUUUGAUUCCUCUUGUGAGGACAAAAAUUUGGAUAAAAAUGUACCACAUCAUUUGGAUGCAUACAACUUAAAGAGUGUGCCUCAUGUAGGUGGUGAGCAAUCUGAAUCGAGUCUUAUAGACCGUAGAGGUCUGAGAAAUACUAUGAUGAUCUGUUGCAACAAAUCUCAGGAAAAUCAAGUGACGUUUAGAUAUCAAUAUACAGAUUCUGUUAAUGCUCACCACCAACAUGAAAGUGGAUUUGACAGGCAAGGAUAUGACAUCUUAUUCACCAGUUGAUGAAGUCGCGAAGUUGACUGGUAACCAUGAAUCUAAUGAAGCAUGUACUCCUUCAAGUUUUGUGCCACUCAAAGAUCAUCUGGAUCUGAACAGUUGGCAACAACCAGAAAUAUGCAGCCUAUAUAGAAAGAAAGGAAUUUCAAAACUUUAUCCUUGGCAGGUUGACUACCUUCAGGUUGAAGUGUGUAUUGCAGAUAAGGAAUCUUGUAUAUUGCGCAUCAACAAGGCAGAACAUUUGAACGUACUGCUUGAACCACUUGGUUAGUGUGUUCGUAGUUACGUAGGAAACCAAGGUGGUGGAACACUUCCCAAAGAUACUUCUGUAGCUGUCUGCACAAAAGAAAAGGCAAACUUUUUGAUAAACAGGCUGCUGGAAGAGGGUCGUCUUUCAGAAAUUGGAAUUAUUGUAAUAGAUGAACAGGCUGCUGGUACUUCAUAUCCUUGUGGUUAUGUGUCAAUAGUUGUUUGCAACUUCUAUGCAAGAUUUAUAUUUUUUCUUCAUGGGCCUUUUUUCUUUUUCAGUUUGGUUAGUUUUCCUUUGGUAAUUGCUUUUUGGGUGGACUUAUUUAAAUGCCUUUCAUUCUUAUAACUAUUAACAGGUUGGCAAUCCAAGUAGGGGUUAUGACAAAACUUCGUUACGCAGCUGGUGAAGGCAAUUCUGAAUCAAGUAGUGGAGAAAGUUCAGGGAUGAGCAGUUGUAACGCUUACCCUGUCAUGGUCUGGAAAUUGUUGGGAUGAGUGCAACUAUGCCAAAUUUGGCAGCAGUUGCUAAUUGGCUUCGGGUAAGUAGAACUGUAAACAUUAACUAUGAUCCUUCUUGAACAAAUGUAGGUCCCUUAGUGCUGCCUAGCUGUGGGUGUUUGGCAAUUGAUUUAAGAAUAUAGAUACAAAAAUCUUUACUUGGAUUGUGUAACUUUAUAUAUGGGAUCUUGAAUUCCACUCUUAAUGUAGUUGUUCUGUAUAUGAUGAGUAAAACGUCUCAUAAGUUCCGUCUUUCAAGGCAAAGUUAAUGAAAUAGUUAAGUCUAGUUUUGGUAGAAAAAAUUUCAGGACACCAAUGACUCAAUUAUGCAAUUAACUAACUUGAUUUAGAUUUAACCUUUAACAGUGAU